CUGCAAAACUCCAAGUGACAUUCUGACUGUGACAGACGCUCGGUCUUUCAGGCACAAUGAAGCUUGUUCUUCUCCAAACACUUUGCUUUGCUAUGCUAUGGGUCGGCGUGGCCCCCAAACGCAGGGCUGCUGUAAUGUACGGGCUUUCCCGGGCUGAAGCCCAGGGGCUUCCGCUAAAAAGCAGCCUCACCAAGGGGCUCUGGUUGGCAACUUUUACCGUUUCCACCCCACCCACCAUGGAUGACAACUUUCCAAACCCCCGACCCUGCAUGUUUACACAGAACAACAAUGCCUACAACAUCUUUAUGCACAGGCAUGUCCUCAGCAACACCCCAAGCACCAAGGACAUAAGUGGCUGGCAGGAGUUUUUACGUGAACACGAGCUGUGCAACAGGCCAACACAGUCAUUCCUCCGGUACCAAGAUAAAAGCCAGAUCGAAAAUGUCUGUACACGUAAUGGAGGGAAGAUCUAUGAAAGAAACCUGUGCAUCAGCAACCACAAGUUCUCCUUCAUAACAGUGAGAUUAAACAACGGCUGUGAAAUCAGUAGCAUCACCAGAGAGACUAAGCACAUCAUCCUGGCGUGUGACAGAAUCGACAAUGUUUGCAGGCCGGUUCACUUUGAGAAAAACCAAGAUAACGCAAAGCCAAAUCGUACAGCUCCAGGCUGUUACUACCACUAACCUGUGCCACAAUGCCUAAAGUCACAGCAGCCUUGCUUAUGGCAUCCAGAAUAUUUCAUGCAAAAUUUUAAUUAGUAUAGAUGCUUUGUGCUCCUAUUUAGAGGAUGCAUGUCUAAUAUGUUAAGAAUAACGCUCAGAUUGCAGUAGGUACUGUAACGUACCGGUGGGAUGCUACAGAAAAAUGAUACAGGGAGCUGGACAGACCCUGCACUCAGAAAAGGUUCAUCUGAUGUACCUGUUCUCCUCUUUGUACAAGUGGAAAAUAAAGCUUUAUUUCAUUGCA